rnacentral:rRNA from 1 species
UACGGAAGGUCCGGGCGUUAUCCGGAUUUAUUGGGUUUAAAGGGAGCGCAGGCGGAGAGUGAAGCGUGCCGUGAAAGCGCGGGGCUCAACCCCGUAUAGCGGCGCGAACUCACUCCCUUGGUUGCGGGAGAGGAAGGCGGAACUCGUGGUGUAGCGGUGAAAUGCAUAGAUAUCACGAGGAACCCCGAUCGCGAAGGCAGCCUUCCGGCCCGUUAACGACGCUCAUGCUCGAAGGCGCGGGUAUC